UCCAGAUUCAAUGCAGUGACGGCAGAAAGUGUAUGGGCAUGAAGAUUCAAAGAAAAAGAUGCGGCCGUUGAAAGAUUUAUAUGCUCCUUUGCUCCAGGUACCUGAACCACUAAGGCCAGUUUCACCAAAUUCAUUUAGUCCAGAAGCACCAACACCAAGUUCAUCUGCACUCUUACCUCCUCCACCACUUCCAGAAUCAGAAGACCAAGUGUUUCCUCCUAAUGGAAAUCAAA
rnacentral:lncRNA from 1 species